rnacentral:rRNA from 1 species
UUCCUACGGGGGGCAGCAGUGGGGGAUAUUGCACAAUGGGGGAAACCCUGAUGCAGCGACGCCGCGUGAGUGAAGAAGUAUUUCGGUAUGUAAAGCUCUAUCAGCAGGGAAGAAGAAAGACGGUACCUGACUAAGAAGCCCCGGCUAACUACGUGCCAGCAGUCGCGGUAAUACGUAGGGGGCAAGCGUUAUCCGGAUUUACUGGGUGUAAAGGGAGCGUAGACGGCUGUGCAAGUCUGAAGUGAAAGCCCAGGGCUCAACCCUGGGACUGCUUUGGGAACUGGCGCGCUGGAGUGCCGGAGGGG